rnacentral:lncRNA from 1 species
AUGAACACAACGGAGUCUGAUUCUGGAAGGGUUUUUGUUUGCUUGUUUGCUUUUCUUUUUAAGAGCUUCAUAUAUAUAUUUAUAUAUAUAAAUUAUUAGAAUGUGUGGUGGGGAGUGCGUGGGGAACAUGGUUGGGGCAUUUUUCCAUAUCUGGGCCGUGGGUCGGUUUCCUUUUACUUUUAAUGGUUAAGUAAAUAUAUAUAUAUGGGGACCGCUCGAGUUAUACAACCGUGAGAUCAGACACGCACGCGGGGGAAGGGGGCACACGUUGCUACAUCAAACUGCCACGUCUAAUAGGAUGUGCAUGAGUCAAAGUACACCAAGUUGGGGGGGUGAGGGCAGGGGUGCCGCUGGGGCAGACCUGGCACUGGGACCAAAGGGCACCUGCGGGCCGUGGCCAUCCGUGAGGUGUGAGGGAAGCACAGCCGCGCCCAGCAGUCCCGCAGCGCUUGGUACCCAGCAGCCUGGAGCUGCCUUGGCAGCAGGGAGGCUGGAGAAUGAGAGGCUGCUCAGGCUCGUCUGAAUAAGUUCGUGUUGCUUUUCGGCAUUGCUAAGCAGUAUCUUACACCUACAGUGUGGGGGAAGAGGAGGCAUCUAGAAGAAAGGCUCCACUGGGUUUGGAGGUGCGUCGUGGCUGCAGCUCCUGCUCACAGAAGCAGGAAAGACGGCAUCGUGUACAUGAAGUCCCGUGAGUCCUUUUCUAUUUAACACAACUGCUCCCUCAAAAUGAAGGAUGGAGCUGCUGCAGUCUUGAAUUCACACCAGUCUUUAUCUUUUUGAGCUCUUUGUGAUGCAGAUUUUAAUUCCUCUAGAGCUCUGCUGAAAUCAUGGACAGAUCCUUUCAAGUCCAUCAUUGGUGUUGCAGUCCCUCCCUGUGUGCUCUCCUCCACGUUCUGCUCCCAGGAUGCCAUACCAUAGCUCUGUCCCAUCCUUUCUUGCAGUGUGCUACAGGGUAGGAUUGACACGCACCACUGCAGCUUCCCCUCCCCUGGGAUUUGGUUGAUUCACAGAAAGACAUGGGGAUGUCAUGUUGACAGUUGGAGUCAAUUUAAAGGGGUUUGUCACUUUCCUUCUUCAGGUGACUAGGAUAAAGGAGAGAAACAAGGUGAUUGUGAGAGGGAAGAUAUAGGGAGAAAUUAUUUAGCAUUGCGCAAAUGCCAGUUGCUAGCCUAGUCCUGCAUGGCAGUGCCACUUGGCACUGCAAAUCCUUCAUGUAAGAGGUGCUAUCAAAACAUAAUAUGCUGCACUUCUCACCCAACAAGCUUCUGAGAAAGCCUUGCCUUGACAAGGGCAUCCAGCCCUUCGAAUACUUGGCAUUUUUGCAAGGGUAUCAGUUAUUCAUCACUAUAUUGGCAUGUGUGAAACAGGUUGAUUUCUUGCCAAGGACAGGAGCGGAAACCCCACCACAGGCUCUGGCCAACAGCCCAUAGCUGUACACCGCAGCAAGCAAUCCCCAGUCCCAGCAUAGGGUCAGUCUGGAGCCACACACAUACAGGGAAACACAUCUCCAACCCCACUGCUUA